rnacentral:lncRNA from 1 species
ACGAUGCUGAGCUGGAGCAGCCGCUGGCCACCUUCAUACGAGUGAACAUCUACCCUAAAAUAUAGCCAACUCAGGGGAAUGCACAGUUUAAAAAUAGAGAAAAAGAGCCACAUGGUGACAUCCUUUGAGUUCCUGGAUCCAGCCACACCCAAAGCAAAAAUCCCCAUCCUGCUUCAAGUCUGUGAUUCAAUGAAACACUUGGUUGGAUUAAACCAACUGGGGUAGGAUUUUCUGUCACUUGCAACCACAGAAUCCUGAUGGAUACAAGACACUCUUUCUCAUAGAGCCUCUCUUGAAGCUGCUAUUUGAUUACUGCAUGGUCUUCUAAAUAGUAAAUAUAAAAUAUCACACUUGGAAAGAACCCAACUUUUAGGCCUUUGGUGGGUAGAUUUUUUCCUGAGGAUUCAAGUCAGCAGCCUAGAGACCAUCGUGUGUCAAGGUCUUAACCUCAGACACUCGCUCUUCUUUGUUACUUUAAAGCUGUCUAAUGUAGAAACCCCUGAGAUGCUGCUCCAUAGACAUGAGAAGACAGAGUCCUCGGGCCCUGCGCAAGGUCUGAGGCCCAUCACCAGCUCAGCUUCUGCCCUUUUGCAAAACACUGGUCUUUUUGUCUCUGAUGAUGUGAGUCCAUUGCUCACAUAUCUGGCUGUUUCAUCCAAAAAAAAAUAUUUUACUUUUGGCUUAAAAGCCCAUCUCAACAUAAACAUCGGAGCUCCCGAAUGUUGCUCUAACAGCUUGACAACUCUGUAGGUGUAGAGCUGGCUGCCCGCCAAUCCAAAUUUUUCUGCUUCUUUCUUUUAAUAUAAACAGAGCCUUUGAAGAACUGUGGAUUCAUUGAAUGAACAAAUGAACUUGUUUACAUAAAACAUGCAGGAGGAAAUUUCCACUGUGCUUCAACAUAUAAUUUCAGUCUGUUUUUGGAUGGGCUGGUGCAUUAUGGAGAUUGUUUUUCUAGACCAGGAUGCUGUCCUCCAUAUGGUGGCCUCAUUGUUCACUCCAGUCGGGGGAGCUUGCUGAUUGGUGAACACGUCAAUGUGUAUGGAGGGGGAUGAGUCCUGAUUCCACGAGGCAAGAAUAUGGGAACUCUACGUUUGAGACCAUCCCAGACCUCACCCUUUGUGCCUCUUCAUUUGCCUGGUCCUGAUUUGUAACCUUUAUAAGAUUGUAACCAUCCAUAUAGCGCUUCCCUGAGUUCUGUGCAUUGUUCUAGUAAAUUAUGAAACCUG